rnacentral:rRNA from 1 species
UACGUAGGGGGCAAGCGUGGUCCGGAAUCAUUGGGCGUAAAGAGCGUGUAGGCGGCUCGGUAAGUCUGCUGUGAAAGUCCAGGGCUCAACCCUGGAAAGCCGGUGGAAACUGUCGGGCUAGAGUCCGGAAGAGGCGAGUGGAAUUCCUGGUGUAGCGGUGAAAUGCGCAGAUAUCAGGAGGAACACCAAUGGCGAAGGCAGCUCGCUGGGACGGUACUGACGCUGAGACGCGAAAGCGUGGGGAGCAAACAGG